ACAUGAGGAAGUAAAUAUCUUUUGAAGAACAACACUGGAUGUUGACUGACUUUGAAGGUGCUACAAGAAAAAAUGAAGUAAGGUUACACAUCUGGUCUAGCAAAGAGAAAAGGUUUGAAGCUGCAUUUGGAGACUCAUGUGUUUGGCUUGUGAGCUUGAUUUGCUUCCCUAGGCUUCCAUGAAAAUUUUGAUCUAGGAUGCAGUGAUUUGAGGUGUAACUUUGCGCUUACUAGAUCUCUCAACUCAAUCUUAGAUGAAGUCGGUUUUAGCAGAACAUGACUAUAUGUAAAGACCUAUCCAAACUCUUUUGAACAAUGAGCAGCUCAGUAUUGUCGAUAUUUUGAUGUUUUGACUGCUACUUGAUUUAUUAAAAUAUGGCCAAUAUUUUGACAUGACAAACAGCAUAAAAAAACAUGUUAUUAUCC